ACGGCCGUACCAUGCUGAAUAUACCGGUUCUCGUUAGAUCACCGAAGUUAAGCAUCAUUGGGCGCGGUCAACCACCUGGGAACACUGCGUGCCGUU